UACGUAGGGUGCGAGCGUUGUCCGGAAUUACUGGGCGUAAAGAGCUCGUAGGUGGUUUGUCGCGUUGUUCGUGAAAUUCCCUGGCUUAACUGGGGGCGUGCGGGCGAUACGGGCAGACUGGAGUACUGCAGGGGAGACUGGAAUUCCUGGUGUAGCGGUGGAAUGCGCAGAUAUCAGGAAGAACACCCGUGGCUAAGGCGGCUCUCUAGUACGGUACUGACGCUGAGACGCGAAAGCGUGGGGAGCGAACAGG
rnacentral:rRNA from 1 species